GGAGGCAUGGCUCAGUGGUAGAGUACUUACCUGACAAGUAUGAAGCCCUGAGUUCAAAUCUUAGUACUGCUG
rnacentral:tRNA from 1 species